GAUGAAGAACGUAGCGAAAUGCGAUAAGUAGUGUGAAUUGCAGAAUUCAGUGAAUCAUCGAAUCUUUGAACGCACAUUGCGCCCUUUGGUAUUCCUUAGGGCAUGCCUGUUCGAGCGUCAUUUAAACCUUCAAGCUCAGCUUGGUGUUGGGUGACUGUCCGCUUCACCGCGGACUCGCCUCAAAAUUAUUGGCGGCCGGUACAUUGGCUCUCGAGCGCAGCGGAAACGCGUAACUCGAGGUCCUCGUGCUGGCUCCCAGAAGCUAUCUUCACAAUUUUGACCUCGGAUCAGGUAGGGAUACCCGCUGAACUUAAGCAUAUCAAUAAGCGGAGGA
rnacentral:misc_RNA from 1 species